rnacentral:rRNA from 1 species
UACGUAGGUGACAAGCGUUGUCCGGAUUUACUGGGCGUAAAGAGCGCGCAGGCGGUCGAUCAAGUCGAGUGUGAAAGCCCCCGGCUCAACUGGGGAGGGUCAUUCGAAACUGGUCGACUCGAAGGCAGGAGAGGGUAGUGGAAUUCAUGGUGUAGCAGUGAAAUGCGUAGAGAUCAUGAGGAAGACCAGUGGCGAAGGCGGGUCUCUGGACAGUUCCUGACACUGAGGCACGAAGGCCAGGGGAGCAAACGGG